rnacentral:lncRNA from 1 species
GCUCGACCCCGGCGACGGCCGACUGGGUCGUGCGACCCAGGCGGCCAGAUCCGGCCAUCCGGCGCCGGAUCCGGCUGUCCGGCCGCCGGAUCCGGCGGUCCGGUGGCCGGAUUUCAAAAAAAUAAAAGACAAAUGUUUUUUUGUUUUUUUAAUUUAAUCAAAGUCCUUUGCAAAUGUAAAUUUUACCAAACGGUAUUUUGGCCAAAGUUGCAUCUCAAUGAAAAUUUUACCAAACGAUAUUUGCAUUUCGGAAAACCCCAUUCACCCAAAGGUAUUUGCAUUUUGGCAAAUGCAUCCCCCCAAAGCCGAACCAAACGGGCCCA